rnacentral:rRNA from 1 species
UAGGGAAUAUUGGUUAAUGUGCGAAAGCGCGAACCAGCAACGCCGCGUGUGCGAUGAAGGCUUUCGGGUCGUAAAGCACUUUUUGCAGGGAAGAGGAAGGACGGUACCUGCAGAAUAAGUCUCGGCUAACUACGUGCCAGCAGCCGCGGUAAAACGUAGGAGACGAGCGUUAUCCGGAUUUACUGGGCGUAAAGCGCGUGCAGGCGGGAUGGCAAGUUGGAUGUGAAAGCUCCCGGCUUAACUGGGAGAGGUCGUUCAAUACUGCCAGGCUUGAGAGUGGGAGAGGGAAGCGGAAUUCCGGGCGUAGUGGUGAAAUGCGUAGAUAUCCGGAGGAACACCAGUGGCGAAAGCGGCUUCCUGGCCCAUUUCUGACGCUCAGACGCGAAAGCUAGGGUAGCAAACGG